AUUGAACGCUGGCGGCAGGCCUAACACAUGCAAGUCGAACGAGGGGCGGACGGGGGAGGAAUGUCUGGGAAACUGCCUGAGGGAGGGGGAUAAGUACUGGAAACGGUAGCUAAUACCGCAUACCAUCAGAUGUGCCCAGCUGGGAUUAGCUAGUUGGUGGGGUAACGGCUCACCAAGGCGACGAUCCCUAUCUGGUCUGAGAGGAUGACCAGCCACCCUGGAACUGGGACACGUUCCAGACUCCUACGGGAGGCAGCAGUGGGGAAUAUUGCACACUGGGCGCAAGCCUGCUGCAGCCAUGCCGCGUGUAUGAAGAAGGCCUUCGGGUUGUAAAGUACUUUCAGCGGGAAGGCGUUCCCCGCAGAAGAAGCACCGGCUAACUCCGUGUCAGCAGCCGCGGUAAUAC
rnacentral:rRNA from 1 species